rnacentral:rRNA from 1 species
AGGACGAACGCUGGCGGCGUGCUUAACACAUGCAAGUCGAGCGAUGAAGCUCCUUCGGGAGUGGAUUAGCGGCGGACGGGUGAGUAACACGUGGGUAACCUGCCUCAUAGAGGGGAAUAGCCUCUCGAAAGGAAGAUUAAUACCGCAUAAGAUUGUAGUACCGCAUGGUACAGCAAUUAAAGGAGUAAUCCGCUAUGAGAUGGACCCGCGUCGCAUUAGCUAGUUGGUGAGGUAACGGCUCACCAAGGCGACGAUGCGUAGCCGACCUGAGAGGGUGAUCGGCCACAUUGGGACUGAGACACGGCCCAGACUCCUACGGGAGGCAGCAGUGGGGAAUAUUGCACAAUGGGGGAAACCCUGAUGCAAGCAACGCCGCGUGAGUGAUGACGGUCUUCGGAUUGUAAAGCUCUGUCGUUUAGGGACGAUAAUGACGGUACCUAAGGAGGAAGCCACGGCUAACUACGUGCCAGCCGCAGC